rnacentral:rRNA from 1 species
AUGAACGCUGGCGGCAGGCCUAACACAUGCAAGUCGAACGGCAGCGGGGGAAGCUGCUCCCGCCGGCGAGUGGCGGACGGGUGAGUAAUGGCCUGGGGAGCUGCCCAAUCGAGGGGAUACCAGUUGGAAACGACUGCUAAUACCGCAUAGCCCUGAGGGGGAAAGGUGGGGGAUCUUCGGACCUAUCGCGAUUGGAUGCACCCAGGUGGGAUUAGCUAGUUGGUGAGGUAACGGCUCACCAAGGCGACGAUCUCUAGCUGGUCUGAGAGGAUGACCAGCCACACUGGAACUGAGACACGGUCCAGACUCCUACGGGAGGCAGCAGUGGGGAAUAUUGCACAAUGGGGGAAACCCUGAUGCAGCCAUGCCGCGUGUGUGAAGAAGGCCCUUCGGGUUGUAAAGUACUUUCAGCGAGGAGGAAAGGGGGAUAGCUAAUAUCUAUUCUCUGUGACGUUACUCGCAGAAGAAGCACCGGCUAACUCCGUGCCAGCAGCUGC